UUUUGUGCAAACGCCUUGGGUGAGAGAGUGAAAGGAUAAUCGGGAAGCCUGUGAAAAUCUGGCACUGCCCCCGCAACGGUGAAGGUGAAAGUGAGAUGCACAGGUCUAUUACAAGUCGAAUAGACCCUUGUUGAUAAAAAUCUCUACUUGCUCGGGAAAAGGUCUGUUGAUCUUACCUAAUAACCUAAGUCCGGAGACCGGCCCAUUAGAUGAUUUUGAG
rnacentral:ncRNA from 2 species